UGUAGGAGCGGGCUUGCUCGCGAAAGCGGUGUGUCAGUUAACAAAUUUUCUUCUGAUACACCGUAUUCGCGAGCAAGCCCGCUCCCACA
rnacentral:antisense_RNA from 1 species